ACUGGACCCAGUGAACCUGAAAAACAAUUCGUUGUGAUGGUGUGGGCGGCCCUCUCUCCACUUCCUCCCGUGGAGUGACUCCCAGCGCUGUCUGACAGGGCACACAGCGCUGCGGCGCUCCAGAGCAAAUUCCAAGUCCUGCUGGCCUUCCUGUUUUCCACACUCCCCUCGGGAAGUUAUUUGUGUAGUGUGUCCACUGCAGCUGGACCCAUAUGCUGAAUCUGAGAAGCAUACAGACCACAUAGACUCGAGAGAGACUGCAUUCAAAUGCACCCAGAUGACUCUGCAUAAAGGAGCACUAGCUUUAGAAAGAAGCGUUUGUCACCAACUCUGGACAGGAACCGUUUCUGCCCCGGCGUGCCAGCUCCAGUGUGGUGAGACAUUUACACACACAUACCGCGCUGGCUGCAGCCUCCAGAAAGCAGCUGGACGACACACAAAUAAGUGUGUGGAGACUGUCCUGGACUGACCUCGCCACUAUUUAUGUCCGUCCAGAGAGGACCGAGUUAGCCACGCCACUGGAAGCUCACCAGGCAGGCGCCCACGGUGCCCAGCCCCACCUCGCAUUCUCUGCCUGCCCCAUCUCACCCACUUCCCCAACUGCUCAUUUGUCCUCUUUCCAAGCGGGGAGGGCUGACUUUCAGCUCACGGAGCCCCCUUGGAAAGAGUUAUAUCCACAGAGCAUCCAUAUUGCCCUUGAGAGGUGGCGCCAAGUCCCGCGCCAGACACGACCUGAUGAGAGAGUGCGGGAAACUCUGCGAGACAUUUGGGGUUUGAAGAGAGAAAUGGGCCUUUUCUUCAGCGCUGAUUGGGCCGUGUGAUCAUAUAUACGUGACUGAAUGACAAGUGAAAGACAUUUGUUUUUAUAUGCGGAGGGAACCGACAUCCUGAAAGCUUGUAGGGUUUUUUGCAAAUUCCAUGAACUCAUCUUUAAAGGAACAGUAGAGAAAUACUACUACUACGACUACACAUGUGACCUGUGACCAUCAACCACUUUCUGAAUCUUUUUUUUCCAUAGAGAGGGCUCAUGGGGGAGAAACAAUAGCAGCCUUUAUUUUCAUUUCAUGGAGCUUAGUGCUGUGUGUACAUGACUAACACACAGUACAUGACUAACACUGUGGGUCUGCACACGUGGAGUCGUUUUAAGGAUUAACUGUUGCAUAAGUGAACUGAAAUAAAUGACACACGGGAUGACUGAAGGGGACAAGAUGACAGGCGUCUGUCAAGAGGGGGAGAGGCGAGAGCUGCCACAUACAUCUGACUCUCAGAAGUGUCUGACCUUUCAGCACUGGCAGAGCUGGUGGCGCUCCACUCGAGGCAAAUGCCAUCUCAACUUUCUAGGGAAGAGUGUACGAUGGCCACAGCGUGAAGACCCGGCCUGAAUAUUCAUGGGCAUCUGCCAGGCUGGGAUGUUAUCCUGCACGUCUUUUUUUUUCUUUCCAUAUGUAUUUUCAUGCAGGCACUUGGUUCGUCUGCUCUUAACUUGGUCCACUGCCCUCUCACCUUCGUGAAAACAACCUUCAAGUGAUCUUUGGGUAGUGGUCACACAUGCACGUGUCUUUCUCUCCUUCUCCCUCGCUCACCCACCCACCCACACACACACACCCACACACACACACACACACA
ensembl:lncRNA